AAAACUUUUAACAACGGAUCUCUUGGCUCUCGCAUCGAUGAAGAACGCAGCGAAAUGCGAUAAGUAAUGUGAAUUGCAGAAUUCAGUGAAUCAUCGAAUCUUUGAACGCACCUUGCGCCUUUUGGUAUUCCGAAAGGCAUGCCUGUUUGAGUGUCA
rnacentral:rRNA from 1 species